GUCGUUUGAGUGGAAGGUCCAACCAAAGUUCAGCAGACGCAGGUCGAUAGGGAACAGUAGUUUUGCUGUGUGUACUCAUCGCCCACAGGAUGGAGGGUUACUUCAGAAGAGCACCACUCUGGAAGUCCCUAUUGAAGAUUUAAAGCCAUAUUCUCUGUGGCUUCUCAGUUUCCUCCAUCAUGUCAGAGACUCGACCAAUGCCUGUACAAACUGAGGUGCCUUCAGAGUCUCCAGAGGUGGAGUGUCCAGUUUGCUAUCAGGAGUACGACCAGAGCUCCAAACUCCCACGCAUGCUAGAAUGCCUUCACGUCUUCUGUACAGAAUGUCUCCGUAAGAUCCAGCUCACUCCUUUGCACCCCCCAGACCCCAACAGCGCCCCCUCAAUCUCCUGCCCCCUGUGCCGCCACUCCACCCCGCUACAGAGUGGCGAUGCAUACUCUCUCCCCUGCAACUCACGGAUUCUUGCCCAGUUGCCUCCCGUAGCCUUCCGUCUGCCUGCGUCGGUGUCUGCCCGGCUGGCCACGGUGACCCAGCGCUUGGUGCUAUCUCUGGGGGAGAGGGAUACCCGAUUCAUAAUCCUGCCCACUGUUAGUCUGAGGGUGGAGCAGAUGGGAGAAGGCACAGAAAUGGUAAACCCACCUAGGGUGCUGCAUCGAGAGAUUGAGGUUCUGAGGAGACACAAGAAGACCCUGAUGUGUGUUCAGGUUCUGGCUGUCAUCUUCUGGAUUAUGUUUGUGCUGACUUGUGUGAUUGGAGUUGUGUUUGGGCCAAACCUCUUUCAUAAUUGAAAGAUUAAGGACAUGGGUGUAUCUUGUUACAUUAAUAUAUUUAUUCUGUCCCUGCAUUUUUCAAAUGACAACAUUUAGAUCAUUAUAAAUAGAUCAUUUUGAUUACAUGUAAAACCUAC
ensembl:lncRNA